GGGUGAGAUGAAUAGGAGAAGGGGUGGGUCCGAGCCGCGGGCCCAGCGUAAGAGAGAGGGGGUAGAGUAGAGUCGCGUGAGAAAAGUAGCCGGGGGUGUUUUUCGGGAAAAGAUAGAUUUCCUUUAUAGAAUAAUUAGUUUAAAUCCGAAUCUCACCAUUUAAAUCACAAAAAUUUCUAGGAGUGCCCAAACUUAGUGAAACCAAUUUUGUUAGGCUUAUUUUAUUUUCCUUUAUGCAUUAAAAUUUUUAUACCCUAGAAAAAUAAUAAAAAUUUGGGUAUUUAUUUAAUGCCUUUCUUUUAAGGUAUUUAAAUAAAUACUUAAUCUUUAUUAAAUGCAUAAAAUAUGGAAUAACAUUUUCAUAAUCACAAAUUAUUAUUAACUCAUAGGGAAUUA
rnacentral:lncRNA from 1 species